rnacentral:rRNA from 1 species
UACGUAGGGGGCAAGCGUUGUCCGGAUUUAUUGGGCGUAAAGAGCGUGUAGGCGGUCAGGUAGGUCCGUUGUGAAAACUCGAGGCUCAACCUCGAGACGCCGAUGGAAACCAUCUGACUAGAGUCCGGAAGAGGAGAGUGGAAUUCCUGGUGUAGCGGUGAAAUGCGCAGAUAUCAGGAAGAACACCCGUGGCUAAGGCGGCUCUCUAGGACGGUACUGACGCUGAGACGCGAAAGCGUGGGGAGCGAACAGG